CCUACGGGUGGCAGCAGUGAGGAAUAUUGGUCAAUGGGCGCGAGCCUGAACCAGCCAAGUAGCGUGAGGGAUGAAGGUUCUAUGGAUCGUAAACUUCUUUUAUAAGGGAAUAAAGUGUGGCACGUGUCCUAUUUUGUAUGUACCUUAUGAAUAAGGAUCGGCUAACUCCGUGCCAGCAGCCGCGGUAAUACGGAGGAUCCGAGCGUUAUCCGGAUUUAUUGGGUUUAAAGGGUGCGUAGGUGGCCUUUUAAGUCAGCGGUGAAAGUCUGUGGCUCAACCAUAAAAUUGCCGUUGAAACUGGGAGGUUUGAGUAUAUUUGAGGCAGGCGGAAUGCGUGGUGUAGCGGUGAAAUGCUUAGAUAUCACGCAGAACCCCGAUUGCGAAGGCAGCCUACCAAGCCAUGACUGACGCUGAUGCACGAAAGCGUGGGGAUCAAACAGGAUUAGAUACCCCAGCAGUC
rnacentral:rRNA from 1 species